CCUACGGGUGGCUGCAGUGGGGAAUAUUGGACAAUGGGGGCAACCCUGAUCCAGCCAUGCCGCGUGUGUGAAGAAGGCCUUUUGGUUGUAAAGCACUUUAAGCAGGGAGGAGAGGCUAAUGGUUAAUACCCAUUAGAUUAGACGUUACCUGCAGAAUAAGCACCGGCUAACUCUGUGCCAGCAGCCGCGGUAAUACAGAGGGUGCGAGCGUUAAUCGGAAUUACUGGGCGUAAAGCGAGUGUAGGUGGCUCAUUAAGUCACAUGUGAAAUCCCCGGGCUUAACCUGGGAACUGCAUGUGAUACUGGUGGUGCUAGAAUAUGUGAGAGGGAAGUAGAAUUCCAGGUGUAGCGGUGAAAUGCGUAGAGAUCUGGAGGAAUACCGAUGGCGAAGGCAGCUUCCUGGCAUAAUAUUGACACUGAGAUUCGAAAGCGUGGGUAGCAAACAGGAUUAGAUACCCAUGUAGUC
rnacentral:rRNA from 1 species